rnacentral:rRNA from 1 species
AGUGAACGCUGGCGGUAGGCCUAGCACAUGCAAGUCGAACGGCAGCACAGUAAGAACUUGCUCUUACGGGUGGCGAGUGGCGGACGGGUGAGGAAUACAUCGGAAUCUACUUUUUCGUGGGGGAUAACGUAGGGAAACUUACGCUAAUACCGCAUACGACCUACGGGUGAAAGCAGGGGAUCUUCGGACCUUGCGCGAUUGAAUGAGCCGAUGUCGGAUUAGCUAGUUGGCGGGGUAAAGGCCCACCAAGGCGACGAUCCGUAGCUGGUCUGAGAGGAUGAGCAGCCACACUGGAACUGAGACACGGUCCAGACUCCUACGGGAGGCAGCAGUGGGGAAUAUUGGACAAUGGGCGCAAGCCUGAUCCAGCCAUACCGCGUGGGUGAAGAAGGCCUUCGGGUUGUAAAGCCCUUUUGUUGGGAAAGAAAAGCAGCAGGUUAAUACCCCGCUGUUCUGACGGUACCCAAAGAAUAAGCACCGGCUAACUUCGUG